rnacentral:rRNA from 1 species
UACAGAGGUCUCAAGCGUUGUUCGGAUUCAUUGGGCGUAAAGGGCGCGUAGGCGGGCUGUCAAGUCUGGGGUGAAAUGCCGCGGCUCAACCGUGGAACUGCCUUAGAUACUGACGGCCUCGAGGAAGGUAGGGGCAUGCGGAACUUUGGGUGGAGCGGUGAAAUGCGUUGAUAUCCAAAGGAACUCCGGUGGCGAAAGCGGCGUGCUGGACCUUUUCUGACGCUGAGGCGCGAAAGCUAGGGGAGCAAACGGG